rnacentral:rRNA from 1 species
AUUGAACGCUGGCGGCAGGCCUAACACAUGCAAGUCGAACGAGUGGCGGACGGGUGAGUAAUGCCUGGGAAACUGCCUGAUGGAGGGGGAUAACUACUGGAAACGGUAGCUAAUACCGCAUACCAUCGGAUGUGCCCAGAUGGGAUUAGCUAGUUGGGGGGGUAAAGGCUCACCUAGGCGACGAUCCCUCGCUGGUCUGAGAGGAUGACCAGCCACACUGGAACUGAGACACGGUCCAGACUCCGACGGGAGGCAGCAGUGGGGAAUAUUGCACAAUGGGGGCAAGCCUGAUGCAGCCAGGCCGCGGGUAUGAAGAGGGCCUUCGGGUUGUAAAGUACUUUCAGCGGGGAGGCGUUACCCGCAGAAGAAGCACCGGCUAACUCCGUGCCAGCAGCCGCGGUAAUAC